rnacentral:rRNA from 1 species
GACGUAGGGCGCGAGCGUUUGUCCGGAUUUAUUGGGCGUAAAGAGCUCGUAGGCGGUCUGUCGCGUCGGAUGUGAAAGCCCGGGGCUUAACCCCGGGUCUGCAUUCGAUACGGGCAGACUAGAGUGUGGUAGGGGAGAUCGGAAUUCCUGGUGUAGCGGUGAAAUGCGCAGAUAUCAGGAGGAACACCGGUGGCGAAGGCGGGUCUCUGGGCCGAUACUGACGCUGAGGAGCGAAAGCGUGGGGAGCGAACAGG